rnacentral:sRNA from 1 species
CUUCCGACAAAGUUUCUAUAAAAGACAUUGGCGUCUGGUUUAAUUAAGACACGGGGAACGUUCGCUCUGCAUCGUCUGCUGAAGCUUCGAACUAACAGACUUUCAUUUGAAAUUUCAACAUGAAGUUUCUCACUGCACUGGUCCUCCUGAUGGUGCCAGCUGUUCUAGGAGGCAGCUUAAAAUCCUUGUUCGCAGAGAUUGAGGAGGAUCUGAAGGAGAACAUGUUUCGGGAAGAGAAAGA